ACGGGAGGCAGCAGUGAGGAAUAUUGGUCAAUGGGCGGAAGCCUGAACCAGCCAAGUCGCGUGAAGGAAGACGGUAUUAUGUAUUGUAAACUUCUUUAGCAGUAGAGCAAUAAGCGCCACGUGUGGCGUGAUGAGAGUAUACUGAGAAUAAGCAUCGGCUAACUCCGUGCCAGCAGCCGCGGUAAUACGGAGGAUGCGAGCGUUAUCCGGAUUUAUUGGGUUUAAAGGGUGCGCAGGCGGCUUUUUAAGUCAGUGGUUAAAUCGUGACGCUCAACGUCAUCACGCCAUUGAUACUGGAGAGCUUGAUUGCGGUCGAGGUUUGCGGAAUUCGUCGUGUAGCGGUGAAAUGCAUAGAUAUGACGAAGAACACCGAUUGCGUAGGCAGCAGACCAGGCCGUAAAUGACGCUCAUGCACGAAAGUGCGGGGAUCGAACAGGAUUAGAUACCCUGGUA
rnacentral:rRNA from 1 species